AACCACCGAGAAGGGACAAAGCCGGGACCGAUUUUUCUUGCGCAUGUGCGAGCUUAUUUGGUAUACCUGUCUUAUUGCCGAUCCCCUGCCAGCCGUCGGUUAGUCCGGUAAUAUUCGACGCCUAGUUCAGUCUAGUCAAGCGUUGCCUGAAUUUUUCUCUGUAUUUUUUGUGUGUUGUCAUUGUGCUCUUUAUUUUAUUAAAAACUUUUAUAAUAUGCCUUAUACCUGUGCUUUUCGUGGAUGUCAUUCAAAGACAGGGUGUGGUGUUUCUUUCUUUGCUUUUCCGCAGGAAGAAGAUCGUGCCAAGUUAUGGAUGGCAGCUUGCUAUAGAACAGACUUGUUUUCGAUACCUAGAGAACAACUUACCAGGAACUAUAAGCUCUGUGAGUACCAUUUUAAUGAAGUUUUAUAGUGCAGGGCCCUCAAGAAAGCGUUUGUUACCUAACGCGUUACCAACAUUAUUUCCUAAUCCCACAAAAAGGACUUGUGAAGGUGAACAGCUUGAGGAUAGACCGCCAAAAAAAGUCUCAAAGGAAAAGGACAUAAAAAUUCUAUCAGAUAUUUUAAUACAGCCUGCAAUUAUGAAACCAGCAGCGUUGGCCGAGCAAAGUAUUGCCGAAAAAAAUUCUCCUUAUGACAGAACUAAGACGAAAAAUAAAAAAGUUGUUGCGUGUUCCCUUUUUCCCGUGUCACCCGGUAUAGUUUAGGUUUAACUAUACCAACAGUAAAAUAAUGUAAUAGUUUUGAUUGCAAAUUCCCAAUAAAAUUUUU